CACACACGGGCACUGUUCGCACCCUCCCACCGGCAGGUACCUGCAGCAGCUCCAGGCUUAACCCUUCCCUGCCUGCACCGCAGCAGGACCCUCCAGAGGGCAGGAUUCCGGGCAGGCUUCGGGCACUCAGUGUGGAUGCUCCCAAAUAUGACUUGAGACCAGCAUCCCCAUCAGUGCCUGAAACUUCUGGGGGACCCGAGAAUCGUGAGCUGCAAAAGGCUUUGUCCGCCUGAGCUCACCAGGGGAUCAACAUGCAAAUGCUGAACAAAGGAGGGUGAACUAUGAAAGAGUCGCUGCUUCCCAGGAUAGAGUCCUCCGUCCUUGCUGUCUUAACGCUAGUGUGACUCUCCAUGGACUUCAGUGGAGUAACUCCUGGCUUACAGAGGUCCAGUGACAUCAGAAUCAAGCCUGUGGAUUUCAGCCAGCGAUGGGCCUUCCCGACUUGUGACUCUAGAGGGCAGCAGGGAGCUGCUGUAUGGCUACAUCUGGGAGGACUGUCUGCUUCCUCAACGGACCUAGCUGCUGGUGGAGAUGAAGAUCAGUGAACUGUAGCCGGAUUUCUUCAUGGUGAAUUACUGAAAAUGUGCUAUGCCACCAGGGAUGCCCCCCCCUUUUGGGGGUGGGGGUGGAUUUUGGUUUGGUGGCCAAAAACUAUUUCAGAAGCAUGGUAUUAUAUAUAGCCUGUAGCAACUUAAA